GGAUUAGAUACCCUGGUAGUCCACGCCGUAAACGAUGUCAACUAGCCGUCGGGCUCAUUUAAGGGUUUGGUGGCGCAGCUAACGCGAUAAGUUGACCGCCUGGGGAGUACGGCCGCAAGGUUAAAACUCAAAGGAAUUGACGGGGGCCCGCACAAGCGGUGGAGCAUGUGGUUUAAUUCGAUGCAACGCGAAGAACCUUACCAGCCCUUGACAUCCCGGGAACUUUCUAGAGAUAGAUUGGUGCCUUCGGGAACCCGGUGACAGGUGCUGCAUGGCUGUCGUCAGCUCGUGCCG
rnacentral:rRNA from 1 species